rnacentral:rRNA from 1 species
AACGAACGCUGGCGGCAUGCCUAACACAUGCAAGUCGAACGCUUCCGGGGGUUUCGGCCUCCGGGGGAGUGGCGCACGGGUGAGUAGCGCGUGGGAACCUGCCCUGUUGUGGGGGAUAACCGAGGGAAACUUCGGCUAAUACCGCAUACGCCCGAGGAGUGAUCUUCGGGGAAAGAUUUAUCGCAGCAGGAGGGGCCCGCGUCGGAUUAGCUGGUUGGUGGGGUAACGCCA